rnacentral:ncRNA from 1 species
AUUGCUGCGGUUAAAAAGCUCGUAGUUGGAUCUGAGUUGCAUGCAAUGAUUCGCCUUUGGCGUUAAUCAUUGUUGUGACUAUUUGCUGGUUUUCUAUUGAAAUUUCGAUUUCUUUAGUGGCUAGCGAGUUUACUUUGAAUAAAUUAGAGUGCUCAGAACAAGCGUUUGCUUGAAUGGUCGAUCAUGGAAUAAUAAAAGAGGACUUCGGUUCUAUUUAUUGGUUCAGGAACUGAAGUAAUGAUUAAGAGGGACAAUUCGGGGGCAUUCGUAUCCCUGCGCGAGAGGUGAAAUUCGUGGACCGCAGGGGGACGCCCUAAAGCGAAAGCAUUUGCCAAGAAUGUCUUCAUUAAUCAAGAACGAAAGUCAGAGGUUCGAAGGCGAUUAGAUACCGCCCUAGUUCUGACCGUAAACUAUGCCAUCUAGCGAUCCGAUGGGGUAUUGUUGCCUUGUCGAGGAGCUUCCCGGAAACGAACUCUG